CAGCAGAAACAUUCCAGCCAAUCAGCAGCAGACCCUCCCUCCCAGACCCUUCCACCUCUUGGACAGCAUCCAUUUUGAAGCUGCAUUCUUAGUGAGCUGUCCAGGAGGUGGGAGGGUCUGGGAGGGAGGGUCUGCUGCUGAAUGGCUGGAAUGUGUCUGCUG
rnacentral:miRNA from 1 species